GUAAGUUAUUGCCAGGGUUUUUAUUUUAUAUUUUUUAAAUUUUCAUAUUUUUGAAUGUUUUGUUUAAAAAUAUAAAAAAUGAAAUAGAUAUUGACAUGGAUUAAACAAAGAUAUAUAUUAUUUUAUGUUGUAUAAACGAAUUGGCAAAAUAGAGAUGGAAGAUAAAAAUAUGGUCAAAGUAAUAAGAGUC
rnacentral:misc_RNA from 1 species